UAAGCUAUAAUACUCUAGGAGCUUGUGCGG
rnacentral:piRNA from 1 species